UACGAGGGGGGCAAGCGUUGUUCGGAAUUAUUGGGCGUAAAGGGCGCGUAGGCGGUGCGGUAAGUCUGAUGUGAAAUCUCCGGGCUCAACUCGGAGUCUGCAUCAGAAACUGCCGUGCUCGAGUGUGGGAGAGGUGAGUGGAAUUCCCGGUGUAGUGGUGAAAUGCGUAGAUAUCGGGAGGAACACCUGUGGCGAAAGCGGCUCACUGGACCACAACUGACGCUGAGGCGCGAAAGCUAGGGGAGCAAACAGG
rnacentral:rRNA from 1 species